GAUAGACGCUAGCGGCAGGCUUAACACAUGCAAGUCGAGGGGCAGCAUAGAUUGUAGCAAUACAAUUGGUGGCGACCGGCGCACGGGUGCGUAACGCGUAUGCAACCUACCCGUCACAGGGGGAUAAUCCGGAGAAAUCUGGUCUAAUACCCCAUAACAUAUGGAUCGGCAUCGGUUCAUGUUGAAAUUUUCGGAGGUGACGGAUGGGCAUGCGUAGCAUUAGCUUGUUGGUGAGGUAACGGCUCACCAAGGCGACGAUGCUUAGGGGGACUGAGAGGUUUUCCCCCCACACUGGCACUGAGACACGGACCAGACUCCUACGGGAGGCAGCAGUGAGGAAUAUUGGUCAAUGGGCGCAAGCCUGAACCAGCCAUGCCGCGUGCAGGAUGACGGCUCUAUGAGUUGUAAACUGCUUUUGUACGAGGGUAAAGUGGGUUACGUGUAACCUUUUGAAAGUAUCGUACGAAUAAGGAUCGGCUAACUCCGUGCCAGCCGCCGCGGUAA
rnacentral:rRNA from 1 species